AUCGCAUCAGCAACAGAAUAUUUGGUCUGUCCAGAUACACAAGCCUCCAUAUCUUCCGGACUUAGCUGAGUCUGUAAGAAGAGUGCCAUCUGGAGGUGAAAUGAAUGAAGAGAAACCAAGGAGAAGAGAGAGAAAGAAGUUCAUUAAGUUAAUCGCGUUCCUGCUAUGGACCUAAUUCUCACCCUACCAUGUUCCGCCUAAAGAGGCUGCACAGAGGCCUUACCCCAUGCUAAUUCUGGAGCGAUAUAUGAAGGAGGACAAGAGAACUCUACGGCUAUCCACACAGAGGUGAUAUGGAGGUGCUCUCAAGGUAUCAUUUCUUAACAAUGCAAUGGAUUGCUUGGAGAUAAGGACAAGCCAGAAGUUUUAUUAUACAGAAUGACUACAAAAACUGUGUUUCUGAGAAGUUUAUUUUUAACAUUCUUCUACUAGGAAAAUAAGAAAUCUUACAUGGAAACAUAUAUUUUUAAUAUAGGAAAAAUCUACCAUGAGAAGGAGGGAAAAAAAUAUUCUUGCACUGGAUGACUAUUUGCUUCAUCCAUUCCAGCUGUGUUUUAAUUCAAAUCUCCAUGGUCAGGACUGCAUCAGGUGAUAAACUCAUGCUCCAUGGUGCCACUGUUACACAUUAGAUUAGUCAAUAACCCCAAGAGAGUCAUUUUCCACAAAGUGUCCUUAAAAAAGCAGAAUUUCCCAUCAGGCUGCCUGUUAGUAAAAGGAUCAAUCACAAAUGACAAGGGGGCUCUUUAUGUUGGGUAUAUGGGAAAUCUGUACUCCAUGCAUGAAGAACAGUAAGGCUGGUAAGAGAUUAACAGCUGAAGAUAAAAUUGAUAAAGUUUUUCAUGUUCAUUGAGACUGAGCAAAAAAAA